CCUACGGGAGGCAGCAGUGGGGAAUAUUGCACAAUGGGCGCAAGCCUGAUGCAGCGACGCCGCGUGGGGGAUGACGGCCUUCGGGUUGUAAACCUCUUUCAAUAGGGACGAAGCGCAAGUGACGGUACCUAUAGAAGAAGCACCGGCCAACUACGUGCCAGCAGCCGCGGUAAU
rnacentral:rRNA from 1 species